UAUGUCUUUGAUAGAACCCAUAUCUCAAACCUGGAAUUUUGAUUCUCUCCUGGGAUCUCCUGAGAUCGCCACCUCAGUACAAUCUUCUCUGGCAAUGCUUCAGGCUGCAGCCAGUCACCAGCUAUCAGGGGAAACACUCAGACACAGCCCGCUGUGUAGCCCAGUUGAGGAGUGAGGCUUGGUAUAAUGAUGAGAGAUUCCAACAGCAUCCCUCUCUUCUGUCCAUGUUCCACUUCAGGACAGCCCAAACCAACUCCAGAUAUCUGAACCUGUCAUCCUGCCAGUCAUCACCCACUGUCCUGGAGCAUCCUUCCCUGCCCAGAUGCUCUGCCCAGGUCAUUCACUGCUCACAAGUGGCUCCAGUGGGUCAGAGUCCCAUAGCCCAGGCUGGACCUGAGAUGCAUGAGACCAGAACAAAGGAAACCUCUCUACCUCUAUGAGAUGUCAUGGAUACAAUCACUGCCUUCUCAGAGGCUGGCUUUGCCGUGGUGCCAAGGCAAGAGCUGUCUGUCUCACCACCUUUCAGUUCUUGUUAAAAAGCAGAAGCCAUGGCCGGGCCUGCAGGGCC